AUUUAGAAGAGGGAUACAGAUGUUACUAAGGAAAGAAUUCUAGGAUAUAAGAACUAAACACUGGUCCUUAUAGGAUCAGCUACACAAGCAGGGGUGUCUCUUGGUUCAUAAGAGAUGGUUUAUAAAUAACACCUACUAUUUUGAACAGAAAAUUUCAAAAGGCAACACAAUUCCAUCAUUCCAACUGGAAGAAGUAGUCUUCUAAAGUUGAGGCCAGCAUGCUGAAGAAAAAUAUUAAACUAUGUAUAACCCUGUGUCAACAUAUGAUGCUACUGGGAAUGAACAGGAUUUUGAAAAGACAGAAAAAAGAAGAGAACGGAUGGGAGAACGAAACCAUGUCCUUCUAGAUCAGAACGAAAUCAAUCCUGCCACCCACAUCUGUGCUGCUUAACUACACUCGUGAGAAGAACACUGAACGCUUUUCGGAAUGGCAAUAGAGUCUACGAGAUGGAUGGGCAAGACUUACGGUGACACUCCCUCCUUAGAAAACACACACACACACACACACACACACACACACACACACACACACACACCGCCCUCUACAUUCCCUUGAGUUUGAAAUGAAUUUCAUAAGUCUCUUCAGGCAUCUUUCUUUUAUUACAGCCCACAUUCAUAUUUCAGUAGAACAACUACAAGGGAGUCACUAAUUUUUUAUCUAAACUAUGACGUUUUGGCAAACGUUAUAUAACCAACUAUAAAUCCACAACAAGCCUCAAAUACUAAAGAGCUGGUAAUUAUAUGAUGAGAAACAGCUUGAUUAUGGGAGAGGCAAGGCGGGCUGUCAACAAACAAACAGCUGUUUCUUAUUGACAACCUAUAACUAGAUCGUGCAUCCCAAAAAACUAAGGAGUUUGUUUCUGUUGUUGCUGUUGUGUUUGUUUUUAACUAUUCCACCCCUUUCCCCUCCCACGUCCAAAAUACUGAGUCGAUUUAAACAUUAGAUGCAAACCACAACAGAAGAAUCGGAUACACAAGGAUAACAAGUAAAGCACUACAGACUUAUAAAAAAAUUCUGUACGUAAUAACUAACAGAAGUUUAAAGUAUACUUUCCAAUUCGACUUCAAAUGGCUAUCUUUCCCUGUGCAACACGUCCUGUCAUUACUAUUUAUAAGAGGCAGCUCCGGCAAUGGGCCUGUUUCCUCAUUCUUGGAUUAUGACCACAGCAAUGCUGCCACUCUGAUCCUUUGUUCUGGAAGCUUUCUCCGUAGCUUCUUCCAUCCUCCCUGUUAGCAGCAGGGAAUGAGCAUGCUUAGAUCUGCCAGUGUGAACUCUAAGGUCCAUUGUAACUUGAAACUAAAUGAUUCUAGGAAUACUUGAUAAGCUUAGCGUAUGAAUCAAUAAUGGGAAUAAAAAGAACCUUAACAUCACAGGUUAAAAAAAAAAUCCACAAACGUAAAUGGAAUCUUUAUUUGAUGUCCUCGUCAUAUGAAAUAAAAUCACUUUCACAUUUGCACCUUCAGGCACUUUCAUGUACUUUUUGUGUGUGAGGUUUUUUUUUUAAAAUACAUAUACAUUUCCUUUUAACACCCUUUCAGAAAGCAUAUAGGUAACCUUAUUUUAUUUUCCAACAAGCC